ensembl:lncRNA
CUUCUAGAUUAAAGCAGUAAAUAUGCAUGCUAAAUUUCAAUUUCUUCUAUAAAUAAGUUAUUCACAGUAAAGCAAUAUCAAUGUAGUUGUGAUAUAAAAUAUUGCAAAAUCUACAGUAGAGAUUUUAGGUCAGAAAAAAAUCCACAUACUUUGAAAGAAAACCGUACAAAGCAAAAAGCACACCCAAUCUAUGUCUACAGCUUUUUAAAUGUUCUGUUCAGUCUUAAAAUACUUCAGUAUUGCAAAGCUUUGUGGUCACACACACAGUUCAUAUGGUUCAGUACCCUAGGUGCAGGCUCACCCAGUGUAGUACCAACACUUGCGUCACCACUAUGCUCCGUGCCUACAGACAGGUCAACUAAACUAUUUCUCCUACAACACUGACUGAGUAGUUCAGGGGUAAAGAAUCUUGUUUACAAUCAAUAUAACGAUACGCCUGGUUGGCAACAUGCAGAGAUAGGCACAACAGAUAUAUAUAUAUAUAUGGGAGACUCCAUAACUGCAACCCCUGGUCAGGUCUCUAGUUCUAGCAAAGCUAAACGCACUCAAGACGAGAGAUGCUCAGUUCUUGCCCUUGAGGCCAGUUACACUGCUGAUUAUUAAUUUUCCCCCUCUUUUCAACUGGCACAUCAUACAGUGUAUAUGAAAGACUAUAGGGAAUACUUCCUAAAGGAGACAGACAUGUCCUGCAGAGGUAACUGUGCUGUGAUUAUCAGCCCUAUUAUUAAAUGGUAACAGACCUGUCCUGAAGCCUACCGUAGGAGCCCUAAGCUCAAUUCUGGACACACACACACACACACAAACACACACAGCCAACACCCAUCAGCCAGAGACCGACCAGAGAGAAUGAGAGGAAUUCAAAUGGAACGACAGUGCCAAUAAACGCUGGCUGUGCUCGCAGCAGGAGCUGUUUUUCCCGUCUCUGUCCCUCUCUUUCUCUCCCUCGCUGUUGUCUGUUCCCCUCAUACCUGCCAAAAGCAGGUUAUUAACACACACACACCCACACAAAAAAAAGCAUAGACUAGACUGAAUAACUAUAAAACCUAUGGACCUGCUAUAGGCAAAGGGGGAAAAUGUGCAGGUCAAAAUCACUCUCACACAUAUCACACACAGAGCUCUGCAUAGCACUGUGGCACACGCGGUAAUUGCAGAGUGGGAGAGACUGCCGAGGAAAGCUAAUACAAUCACCAAAACACUUUUAAGACAACAGACUGGCCUAAAGUGCCUGAAUACGUGGCAGACAGACAUGAUUUACUGCCUGGGUCUGCCUUUUACAGCCACUGACAGAGAGACAGACUCCUAUGGUCUCUCUCUCUCUCACACACACUCAUACACACACAAAGAAGCUACACACACACACUUCUAAGCAUUGCUUGGUGGGAGAGAGCAAUCAGCUGGCUGGAAAAACCCAGUCCUACUGGGCAGUUCACACAGACACGCACGUGCACACACAGUGAAAAUAAAAGUGUGGCUUUAAACCAGUGUAACAGCAUUGAAAGGGUUGAAAUAAUGUACAGUCACACACUAAUAUAAUUUUGAGAUGGUUCGCCCGUUGAGAGCAUGAUGAUAUAUGACAGUACUAAAACACAUCAAGUCACGUGACACAGGAGAACGCAGCCUCAUCAAGUCACGUGACACAGGAGAACGCAGCCUCAUCAAGUCACGUGACACAGGAGAACGCAGCCUCAUC